rnacentral:tRNA from 1 species
UAUAAAAUAGUGUAUGUUGCACGGGGAUUUUUGGUGUCUCAAGGAUUGGUUUUAUUCCAAUAUUUAUAA